AACGAACGCUGGCGGCAUGCCUAACACAUGCAAGUCGAACGAGACCUUCGGGUCUAGUGGCGCACGGGUGCGUAACGCGUGGUAACCUGCCCUUAGGUUCGGUAUAACUCCCCGAAAGGGGUGCUAAUACCGGAUAAUGUCUUCGGACCAAAGAUUUAUUGCCUUUGGAUGGGCCCGCGUUGGAUUAGCUAGUUGGUAGGGUAAAAGCCUACCAAGGCGUCGAUCCAUAGCUGGUCUGAGAGGAUGAUCAGCCACACUGGGACUGAGACACGGCCCAGACUCCUACGGGAGGCAGCAGUGGGGAAUAUUGGACGAGGGGCGAAAGCCUGAUACAGCAAUGCCGCGUGAGUGAUGAAGGCCUUAGGGUUGUAAAGCUCUUUUACCCGGGAUGAUAGUGACAGUACCGGGAGAAUAAGCUCCGGCUAACUACGUG
rnacentral:rRNA from 1 species